UGUCUUCUUUGGUUGUUGCAGUGGUUUUCAGAUCUGAUAGUGAAUUUGAAUCCCAUCUCUCCAACCAUUCCUACGUAGAAUUUGAAUCCCAUCGAAAUAUUCUAUCUGAAGAGCUAGCACUGGUACAAAUAUUUUUAUGGAAACAAGCUGUACGUAAGGAAGGAAGAAUCUUGUUUGAAUGUUAUUUGUACGCAAUUAUUUUAUAGACAAAUGUAAUUAAUUACCUUACAGAUAAAUGGAUUUGACGAUCGCUCUAGAAAUGUUCUGAAAGAGACUUCCUUCUCAGAAUCCUGAAUUCAGAUCGGAGACAAUUAACAUAUAUAGAUAUAAAAUCUGAACAAUAUUAAAAAAAACACAAGAAGAGUUACAAAUUCUGGAGAUGGAGAAUACUAUAUUAGAAAUCCUACUGUCAAAACAAUAGAGCUGGCUCCAAUAGUUAUCGUGACUCCAGAAAGACGAAAGGGAAGUCGGUCACCAGUCACCACGAAUGAUGAAGAUUGAUUGGAUUUUUGCUAAAUGAUGAACGAAGCAAUGAAGGUAUAUAUGCCUCGAUCAAAGAUUGAUAGGAUUAUGAAAUAUCGCAAAGAGAUAUCCAACUUUGACGCCAGGUUACAUGAUGCCAACUAUAUCUGCUCUUACAAAAAUCCAUAAUAGUUAUGGAUCUGCUUAUCGGAAUUAUUUAGAGAUUUUGAAGAAUGUAAAAAGGAAGAAGGAAGAGUCCUUAAAUAAUAAUGCAAGAUUAGUAGUUAUAAAUGAUAAUUUGUUGAUAGGAGGUUCGUUUAUU
rnacentral:lncRNA from 1 species